CAGAGUUUGUACAAAUGAUGACAGCGAAGUGAAGACCCUGUACAGAAGGUGUUAAAUUUCUUGUACAGAACUGUUAAUUUGCCUUUUCUCUGUUUGUAACUUAUCUGUAAAAGGUUCCCCCACUGUCAGAACAUGCAUGUAUAGUAAUUAGGACUCCAUUCCUCCAUGUUUCUUCCCUAUCUUCUGUCAUUGUCCUUCAACCUUAUUUUAGAAAACUGAUCAAGUACCAUGUUGCAUGUGGCUUCCUCUGGAUAUAUCUAAGCCCUUCUGCACAUCUACACUUAGAUGGAGUUGGUCAAAGGGAACAUCUGGGUUAUGCCUUUUUUACAGUAGCUUUAGGAACCGUCGGCAUGUUGCUGUUGAAGUGUGGAGUUGUGAGCGUGGACUGUGGACAGUCGACAGCGUGUACUAAGAGUUGCACUACUGCAAACGGGUGUUCUGUCCGGUACUCACUCGUACACUAUUUUUUUGUACUGCUGGUAUUGUACCAGAAACAUUUUCUUUUAUUGUUACUUGCUUUUUAAACUUUGUUUAGCCACUUAAGGAAGAUCUGCUUAUGGCACAAUUUGCCUCAAAUCCAUUCCAAGUUGUAUAUUUGUUUUCCAAUAAAAAAAAAUGACAAUUUACCCAAUUGUUGCUCUG
rnacentral:lncRNA from 1 species